UACGCAGGGGGCUAGCGUUGCUCGGAUUGACUGGGCGUAAAGGGCGCGUAGGCGGAUAGUACAGUCAGGCGUGAAAUUCCUGGGCUCAACCUGGGGGCUGCGUUUGAUACGUGUUGUCUGGAGUUCGGAAGAGGGUCGUGGAAUUCCCAGUGUAGAGGUGAAAUUCGUAGAUAUUGGGAAGAACACCGGUGGCGAAGGCGGCGACCUGGUCCGAUACUGACGCUGAGGCGCGAAAGCGUGGGGAGCAAACAGG
rnacentral:rRNA from 1 species